rnacentral:rRNA from 1 species
CCCUUAGAUGUUCUGGGCCGCACGCGCGCUACACUGAUGCAUUCAACAAGCCUAGCCUUGACCGAGAGGUCCGGGUAAUCUUUGAAACUGCAUCGUGAUGGGGCUAGAUUAUUGCAAUUAUUAAUCUUCAACGAGGAAUGCCUAGUAAGCGUGAUUCAUCAAAUCGCGUUGAUUACGUCCCUGCCCUUUGUACACACCGCCCGUCGCUCCUACCGGUUGAAUGUGUUGGUGAGGAGCUCGGAUUGGCAGCAGUUGGUGGUUCGCCACCGGCUAUUGCUGAGAAGUCCUCCAAACCGCCCCAUUUAGAGGAAGGAGAAGUCGUAACA